GCUUAGAAGCAGCCAUCAUUUAAAGAAAGCGUAAUAGCUCACUGGUCGAGUCGGCCUGCGCGGAAGAUGUAACGGGGCUAAACCAUGCACCGAAGCUGCGGCAGCGACACUAUGUGUUGUUGGGUAGGGGAGCGUUCUGUAAGCCUGUGAAGGUGUACUGUGAGGUAUGCUGGAGGUAUCAGAAGUGCGAAUGCUGACAUAAGUAACGAUAAAGCGGGUGAAAAGCCCGCUCGCCGGAAGACCAAGGGUUCCUGUCCAACGUUAAUCGGGGCAGGGU
rnacentral:rRNA from 1 species